ACUGUGCUCCUCUGGAGAAAUCAUGCCAGCUUGCUUUUUCGUGUCUCCUGUGUCCUUAGGUGGACAUCUCCUGUGUCCUCUCAUUUUUAUGAAAUAUGUUCUAUUGCAAGAGUUUAAGGUUUAGCUGGCAUGCAGGGUAACAUCUGGCUUGUUGCUUUGAUUUUGGUUCUAGGUGAGCUGGGCAGUGUAGUCUGAGUGAUUCAUUUUGAUCAAUUUCAAUUGUGUCUACAAGUGCUACAGUGAUCUAACCAGAUGUAGUUUAUAGGCACAGAAGUGUGGCUUUCAGACGAAUAUGGAUUUUUUUUUUUAGUAUCUAUCUUUAGUCCACAGAAAACCUGCUGUCAGUCUCCCUGGGGACUGGAGAAGGCUGAGGGAUACAAAGCUGGUUGUUACCUUGCCCACUGGCAAUUCUGAGUGAUUCUAGGAUUUCUGGUACCAAUUGUGCAGCAAGGGUGGGCUCUUCUUUAGGUGCUCCUAGGAGAGCCCAACUCAUGUGGUUUGUUAACACCAAGAACCCUGGUGAUGGGACUAGGGGAUGUGUUCCUGCUCCAGUCCCACAGGGUGACUACAAGUGGAACAAACAUCUGCUAUGUGACUUUCCACAUCUCAGUCUGAUGUUCUUCAAAGGUGAGGGAAGGGAAAAGAAAGAGGCAAUUGGGCUACUCUUCUCCAGUUCCAACAGUUGCUCAGACCUCAGUUAGCUCCCCAGGCUGGAAUGAAAGUCUGUGGUAAUCCCACUCACCUGAAGCUGUGCUUGCUGGGUGUGGAUUUCAGAACUGUCCAGGUGUGACUACAUUAUACAAUAUGACCUUGAGGACAUUCAAUGAGCUACUUGGUGUAUUUUCACAAAUUUAUGUUCCUAAAAGAACAAUGAAGCCCAGGAAAGGAUCUUUGUUUCUGGAAAUUAGUUCUCAUGUCUUCAGUGCCACAAUAAACCUAAAUAAACUGUAUCCAAACAAACUUUGUCUAUAAUAAUCAAGAUUAGGGGUUGGCACAGUGCUGUGUCAGGCUAAUCCUCUGCCUGCAAGUGUCAGCAUUCCAUCAGGGCACGGUUUCUAGUCCUGGCUGUUCCACUCCCAAUCCAGCUCCCU